AACCCGGUGUUUUUCAACACCACCACUUAAGCAAUUAUCAUGUCAG
rfam:Gonium pectorale scaffold00550, whole genome shotgun sequence.